AUUUUAUUUCCUAUUUUUAGUAAUACUAAUUGUUUCGCCAUGCAAAGGCAGAAAACCCUUUGACUCCGACAGCAAUUAUGUUCAUUGUGUCUACUGCUUCAAUGUUUGCGUAUUGCAUCCCAAUGCAACUGCCGGAUACGUGUGUGCUCCCGAAGACGAUGGUGCAAUUAAAAUAAAUAAGGGAACUGAAGUCGCACCUGCACAGUCCACAGCGCCAAGUCUGAAGUUUUGUUUGCCCAACGAAUUUGAAAUAGGAAAUCUUAAGUUGGCUUGUUGUGUUUGGUCUCUAGCUACGGGAUGUGAAGUUAUAGAGGCUCCUGGAAAAGAACUCUAUGGAGCAAGAGUAGAACUGAACUGUCGGAACUGCCAACGGUAUUGUCCUUGCAUUAAUAAAGCUCCCAAAAACAAUUGUAAAUAUAUUGGCAUAUGGACAGUUUUGGUUUUUCUCCAUUUUCAAUUGCGCGUCAAAUAAUGGUUUGGCAGCGACAAAAUAAAAAUUUAUGUAUUCCAA